GCAAAGGCUGUAAUAAUCGUGGGUUUUCUGUCAUCUUGUCUAAGCAAAUCAGGACAAUAAAGGGGAGUUAAUCUACAACAACAGUCAUUAAUUAAGAAGGCAGGAAGCUUUUGUCCCUGCCAUCAUUUAAUUCUCUCUAGUCAUUGAACAGAUCAAGAAAAAUAAGAAAACGAGUUAACCUAUGAUUAUAAUCUGAGAACAGAAGCUGAGACCAUACAUAACUCAGAUCACAGUCACAUCUCUAUCAAGGCUUAAAAGUGUUCUUUGGGGUUCCAACAGCUUUUAAAUUUAUUCAUUUUCACACCUGGGGAAAUUAGCGGUACACUUGGACUAUUAUGCCUCAAAGAUUAACAGCCUAUUUUUUCCCAGACAUUAAAUGCAAAUUUAGAGAGGAGCCAAUGAUGGCUGACUAGAUGCAGCCAGGAAGAGCAUCACUCACUGAGACACCAGACCAUAGGGAAGACUGCCAUACUCCAAGCAGACCUUCAGAGGGAAGGCAUUGAGAGUGGACAGAGGGAAGACGCAGACCCUGAA
rnacentral:lncRNA from 10 species